rnacentral:rRNA from 1 species
AAACCAGCACCUCAAGUGGUCAGGAGGAUUAUUGGGCCUAAAGCAUCCGUAGCCUGUUCUAUAAGUUUCCGGUUAAAUCCACUAGCUCAACUAGUGGGCUGCCGAAAAUACUGUAGAACUAGGGAGUGGGAGAGGUAGACGGUAUUCGGUAGGAAGGGGUAAAAUCCUUUGAUCUAUUGAGGACCACCUGUGGCGAAGGUGGUCUACCAGAACACGUUCGACGGUGAGGGAUGAAAGCUGGGGGAGCAAACCGGAUUAGAAACCCCAGUAGUCC